rnacentral:rRNA from 1 species
UAGGGAAUAUUGGACAAUGGGGGCAACCCUGAUCCAGCCAUGCCGCGUGAGUGAAGAAGGCCCUCGGGUUGUAAAGCUCUUUUGUCCGGAAAGAAAAGCUUCGGGUUAAUACCCCGGGGUUCUGACGGUACCGGAAGAAUAAGCACCGGCUAACUACGUGCCAGCAGCCGCGGUAAUACGUAGGGUGCAAGCGUUAAUCGGAAUUACUGGGCGUAAAGCGUGCGCAGGCGGUUUUGUAAGACAGAGGUGAAAUCCCCGGGCUCAACCUGGUAACUGCCUUUGUGACUGCAAAGCUGGAGUGCGGCAGAGGGGGAUGGAAUUCCGCGUGUAGCAGUGAAAUGCGUAGAUAUGCGGAGGAACACCGAUGGCGAAGGCAAUCCCCUGGGCCUGCACUGACGCUCAUGCACGAAAGCGUGGGGAGCAAACA